AAGUCGUAACAAGGUUUCCGUAGGUGAACCUGCGGAAGGAUCAUUACUGAAUUGUCAAACGGGUUGUUGCUGGCCCUCAUAGGGGGCAUGUGCACGCUCUGUUUACACAUCCACUCACACCUGUGCACCCUCUGUAGUUCUAUGGUCUGGGGGACCCUGUCUUCCUUCUGUGGUUCUACUUCUUUACACACGCACUGUAAUAAAGUUUUAUGGAAUGUACAUCGCGUCUAACGCAAUACAAUACAACUUUCAGCAACGGAUCUCUUGGCUCUC
rnacentral:misc_RNA from 1 species